AGGAGACUGGUGUAAUGGAAGCACGGCGACAACUAGAUGAUACCGUUCUUAUCUUCGUUAGAUGGAGGUUCGAGUCCUCCGUCUCCUCCA
rnacentral:tRNA from 1 species